UGUGCAUAUAUUUCCAAUCGUUUAUUUCGCCUUCAUUACCCAUUUACACACGGUUUACAGGACAGGACUCUUAUGUUGAAGGAUUUUUCCCCCAAAUGACGUCACCCGGAAGUUAUUGCUAGGUGGCGUCAAGUAGUUUUCCACCGAUAUUCUCAUCCAAACAAACAAUUAUUUCAGGUAUCUAGGAAAUUCGUUUAAAUGUGUUUUACAUUUUCAUUUUGAACUUUAAUGAGUUAUUUAAAUAACGCAUGUCUCAGACAAACUCUUGAGUCUUUUGGAGUGCGUGUUAUCUUAGCUUGUAAGCUAGCUAACGUUACACUAGCCAUUGUCUUGGGUUGGAAAGUGACUACAGCUUAAAUAGCCCACCAUGUCUGAACCGAGUUCUGGCUGUGGCAUUCCAGUCCAGAGAAGCUCACAGCCUGGUCCAGAGACUGUGUCAGUAAAGCUGGAGGACUGCGUCUCAGUGAAGCUGGAGGACUGCAGUCAAACACUGGAACUCAAUGUGAUUGUCAAAAAGGAGGCGAAGGGAGAUGUUAAAGAAGAACAGAGCGAAAUCAAAGAAGAUAAGGAAGAGGGGGAGAAGAGAGAGGUCCAAGUAGAAGAGGAGAGAAAUGCUGAUAUGUCUCUUCCAGGAGAGAGCUCCAACUCAGGCUCACUCAGCGAGCCCAGUACCACAGUAUCAGGAAACCACCGACAACAUAGAGGGAGGAACUCAAGACAGAAACAUCACCACUGCAUGGACUGCUUCACUAGUUUCUAUGAGCCAGAGGAGUUGAGAAAACACACUUGUAAAGACCGCAGCCACAGUGCAACAUGUCCUCCCAAACGGAAAAAGACUUCCAGCUCCUUCUCACCAAUCCUCCCACCAGUCCUCCCACAAUUUUCUUUCAUCAUCGUGUCAGCUAACGGGGAUCCUAGUAAACAUAAAGAUAUAUGUGAUGAGAGCUUGAACCAGGCCAGAAAACCAACAUCAAUCAGUAACCAUGUGGAUUUUCUCCUUACUAACCGUUACACUUUGUCGCAGGAGGAGAAACUCCAGAUAAAAAGUCUCGGUCCCCACCAGCCACCUGAUGUAGAAAUAACACUUCCCCAACACAGAACAAAGGGAAAGGACCCGACCCGUUCAUUCAACCCCUCGUGGUUCCAUAAGAAAUCGUGGCUGACAGCUAGCGUCUCCAAAAAAGCGCUUUACUGCUUCCCUUGCCUUUUAUUCGGCAAAGAGGGCACUUGGUCAACGGUGGGUUUCAAGGAUCUGAAGCACCUCUCCGAAAGGAUUUCGAAACAUGAGAGUUGUUGUACUCAUCUGGAAAACGGCAUGAAACUGGGAUUUCUAGGGAAGACUAACACCGCUGGUCAGCUGGUCAGCGUAAACCCAAGCUCCAUUGAGAUACACAACAGACAAACAGAGGAGAACAGGUACGUGCUGGGUAGAAUGGUCAAAUGCUACGUGCUGUGUGGGAGACACAUGGCUGCCACGUGGCGGAGCGGCCGGGUCGAGUCGGACUCUCUAAACACAUCCAUGUUUAAGUGCAUCUUUGAGACGAUGUGCGAGGGAGACUCGAGACUCCAGAGGCAUUACGACGCUCACGGCUUCUUUAAGCACCCAAGAGGCUAUGUACAAAACAAACUGUUUGACUGUAUGCACGAGGUGUACAAAGAGGCGAUUACCAAGGAGGUGUGGGCGGCUAGCUUCGUAGCGGUGCAGGUGGACGGCAUGCCGUGGACAGGGGAGGUCUCCUCUAGGGUGACAUUACCCCUAGCUACAGAUCUAGGAUCAGCGUCUCCAAUCCCAACCUUGACCAUUAGUGUGGAAAAUGCCAUACUGGCCCAAGAUCAGCUUCUUGGACUAACAAUCUACUCCUGUACGCCACAGCAGGUCUCUGUCGUGCUACGGUACAUGCUUCCAGACAAUACCGUCACAGAGAGGUUUUGGGAGUUUGUGGACCUAAAGGAUAAAACGGCCGCCGGUCUCACCAACGCAGUCAAGGACUCGCUGGAACCACUGAAACUGGAGCACAAGCUGAUCGCUCAGACGUACGACGGGGUCGCGGCGGCAGCAGCAGUGGACGGGGCCGACGUACGCGACCUGGAAACUCACCUGAAACGCACCUAUCCCAACGCUAACUUUGUGCACUGUUACGCUCACCCGCUACGUGUCACACUCCAGCAGAUCUGCUCGGCGACAGCGACCCAACUCAAAGUGUUUUUUGCGGAUUUGUCUUUGUUCGAGACCUUCUUCAAAGAUCAGCCAAAGAGAGCUACAGCUGCAGGGUGGAACUGUGAGCGAGAAACAGUCAGUGUGGUUUGGGAGAAUCGCGUUGCUCUUCAGAAGUGUGUGGAGGAUAUUAGGACACAGCCGGUGUGGGACCAGGACUCUAUCAGAGAGGCUUAUGGCCUGUCAGCCAAACUCAGGGACCCCACGUUCCUACAACUGCUGGAAUUAUUCUAUUUGGUCAUGCAAGAGGUGGAUGUUCUCACUGUCAAUAUACUCAAAAGGGACAUUGUCGUGGCGGACAUCGAACAGGCAGUUGAUAGUUUCGAGAAGUACGUUCAGGCCCAACAGGGGAGAGCUGAGGCCACAGCACACGUAGGCCCCAUGUCGGACAACGACAAGAGAGACACAAAGAGAACUGCCGCGGUCAUGAGGAAGGCAUGUGACAUCAUCGUCACACAUGUGCAUCACAGGUUUUCUCAAAGUAGUGACCAUUUAAUCGCAGCCAAACUGGUGAAUCCCACGCUCUUCUCUAAGUUCGUAGGCUGUUUCCCGUGCUCAGCCCUACAGUGUGCUGCCAAGCUAUGGCCGGUGGUUAACACUGGGAAGCUGAAAGAUGAAUUGACCUCUCUGUACCAACACACGGAGCUCCACAGGGGUACAACAGCGCUGUCUUUACUGAAAACAAUCAGCGAACUCAACCUCCAGGAUGUUUUGUCAGAGACGGUCUCUCUUCUCAAAAUCAUCAUCACCACUCCCAUGCAGACCGCCGAGUCUGAUAGAAGGUUCCCCACUCUGAAAAGAAUCCAGGCGUUGCCGUGUUCUCGGAACACCUCGGGAUCCGCGGUCGCUUGGCAACAGAACAAUGGCAGGCUAAAUGCACUGUCCAUGCUCUCUGUCGAGAAGGACUUCAUUCAAGGACUCAGGUCAGACUUUCACGACAAGGUCGUCGAUAAGUUUGUCCGAAAUAAAACCUGCCCUGGAGCCUUCCUGUUUAAAUGAGCAGUACAGCAUCUGAGAAAAAUCUGAGAAGGCUUGGGCUGUGUCUGUAUAUAGUAUAUACUGGGGGCUGUGUCUGUAUAUAGUAUAUACCGGGGCUGAGUGUCCCAAAUGGUGCACAAUUCCCUCUGUAGUGCACUACAUUUGACCAUGGGCCCUAUUCUGUAGUGCACUACAUUUGACCAUGGGCCUUAUGGGCUAUUCUAUUGAAUACAAAAUAAGUCCAUAGACUCCAGUAGAAUUCAGUUGUAAUUUUUUUUUUUUAUACAGAAUUCAAAUCAGUAGAAGGGCUGGUUUGUAUUGACAUUAGAGGUCUUUACGGGUCCAGAUAUCAGCCAAGUUGCUCUUCUGGUUAAUUAAUAGGUCUUUAUGUUGGCUAGGCCUUCUAUAAGUCAAUCAUUUCACCUGAUUAGCGUAAAAUAUAUAUGCUAUAGACUAUGCAGAGCCGUGGUCGGGUCUAUCAGCUGUAGUUACGUAGACCCGAGAUCCGAUGACAAGCAGGACCCACCCUGAACCGAGGGACAAGUUAGAAUUUCAGACCAGAACGGCCUGGGUCUCGGGUAUAUGAAGACCUCUAAUUGACAUCCAAAGUUAACGAUAUGAGUGUGUUGUAAUGUUAUGAUCUGCUUGUAAACUGUGUAAAAUGUUGUCAACUAUCCUUCAACUGAAUUAUAAAUACAAACAGGUCCAACUGUCUGUGUGGCUCCUCUUCUUCAUUGAAAGUGUAUUAUGUUGGUAGAUUGUCUUUAUCCGAUGACAAGUCAGUAUAGUAACAUUAUGAUAAUAAAGGAUAACAGAUGUUAUACACUGUUGAAAUAAUAUAACAUCACACUGCUGAUAUAAAUAUAAUGUAAUGAUAGCUGUCAUGUUUUGGUUGAGAAAUCUACACUGAACAAAACUACAAAUGCAACAUGUAAAGUGUUGGUCCCAUGAUUCAUGAGCUGAAAUAAAAGAUUCCCAAAAUGUUUCAUUAGCACAAAAAUCGUAUUUCUCAAAAAUGUUGUGCACAAAUGUGUUUACAUCCCUUUUAGGGAACAUUUCUCCUUUGCCAAGAUAAUCCAUCCAACUGACAGGUGUGGCAUAUCAAGAAGCUGAUUAAAC
rnacentral:lncRNA from 1 species